rnacentral:lncRNA from 1 species
UCCAGACUCGUGUGUGGCUGCUUGCGCAGCUGCUCCGUGCCAGGCUUGGAGGACCAGGAGAAGGGGUAGUCACUUGCCACAGCUGGAGGCUGGAGCGUGUGGCACCACGGCUCGCCUCGCUGUGGUGGGUGCUGGCGACAGAGACGGCAGCUCGGCUGGACUGAUUUGCUGAGAUUUGUUUUGUGGCCUAACAUCUGAUCUACCCUGAAGACACUUCCAUGUGCUGAUGGGGAGAAUGCAUACUCUUCAACUGUUGAGUGGGAUGUUCUGUGAAUAUCUGGUAAAAAAACUGAGGCUUAGAAACAUUGAAAAAAACUUGCUCAACGUUGCAAAACAAGAAAUUUGUGACACUGGAAUUGACAUCUACAAGGGACUGAUGUAACUAAUUGCUGGAUACAUGUCCCUCAAAGACACAGAAACAGAUCUUGUAUUCUAGUGGAUCUCCGGCACCCAGUGAGGGCCUGAAACAGAGUACAUGUCCAACAAAUAAUUAUUGAAGUAAAGAUUGACAUUUCAGGAGCAGAGAUUAAUAUUCAAAAACAAAGAUGAGAAUUUUGGCAGAAAAGUCAAAAUGAGGUUCCAACGUGGCUCAACAUGGCAGUUGCUGAUCCUGACUUUGCUUAAAAUUUGGUACUUUGUUUAUCACAAAUUUUAAAAUUAAUUUUGAUUUCUCAAAAUAUUGAUUAAAAUGUUUAUCUCUA